rnacentral:rRNA from 1 species
UACAGAGGUGCCAAGCGUUAGGCGGAAUCACUGGGCUUAAAGCGCGUGUAGGCGGGUCGUUAAGUGUCUUGUGAAAUCCCCACGGCUCAACCGUGGAACUGCUGGGCAUACUGACGAUCUUGAGGCACUCAGGGGCUGUCGGAACAAAUGGUGGAGCGGUGAAAUGCGUAGAUAUCAUUGGAACGCCAACGGUGAAAACAGACAGCUGGGGGUGUCCUGACGCUGAGGCGCGAAAGCCAGGGGAGCAAACGGG